rnacentral:rRNA from 1 species
UUGCCUACGGGGCGCAGCAGUGGGGAAUAUUGCACAAUGGGGGAAACCCUGAUGCAGCGACGCCGCGUGGGCGAGGAAGUACCUCGGUAUGUAAAGCCCUAUCAGCAGGGAAGAAACAGGACAGUACCUGACUAAGAAGCCCCGGCUAACUACGUGCCAGCAGCCGCGGUAAUACGUAGGGGGCAAGCGUUAUCCGGAUUUACUGGGUGUAAAGGGAGCGUAGACGGCAGCGCAAGUCUGAAGUGAAAUCCCAUGGCUUAACCAUGGAACUGCUUUGGAAACUGUGCAGCUGGAGUGCAGGAGAG